CGCGCGCCGGAGCGCGGCGACCCCACGGCGCGGGCCGGGCGGGGGCGAGGCGGGCGCGCUCCCCGGCCCGAGGUUGCGCGUCCGGGGCUGGAACCCGGGCCCCUCCCCACCUCCGUGUGCCGGACCCGCGAGCCCGGGGAAACGGUGCGGACGUUCUGAAUGCGGGAGUUGAGGCCUGCUUAGUGGGACCAUGAGUGGCUCUCUGUUUGCCUCUGUCCAAGAAAGAGGAAAGAAGAUGCAACCUGAGGGAGACAAGUGCCUGCCCCUGCUUCCUGCGACCCCCCCCCCCCUCCCCCGCCCCGGCCCAAACACAGAGCAUGCUCCCUGUUUAAGCAGCCAGCAGGAGCACCAUUGUGGGAUCUGCCAUCGCCAAAGCUGAAUAAUGGAAGAGAUGUGCUGAUAGACAGCCCACUGCUGAGACCAACAUAGCUGGACCAUGGGGCUCUUCAUUAGCAAAACUCUAUGUGUCUUCCAGACUCACACCUGUGUUUCCAACCUUGACUGACGUAAGUGAUAUGCUCACCUUGUAGAAGGAGUUCCACCUUAUUUCAGGACUAGAAGAAACAGGACAGAACCCCGCCCCCCCAUCAUCUCAGUAUUAUCCUCCAUUCAUAUCCUCUUUCUUUUUUUUUAAGAUUUUAUUUUUAAGUAAUCUCUAUACCCAACAUGGGGCUUGAACUUAACCACCCCGAGAUCAAGAGUUGCAUGCUCUACCUACUGAGCCAGGCAGGUGCCCCCAUCCUUUUUCCUUUCUAUCUCUAAUAAAUAGAGAAAGGGGGGAAGACUGAAAUGACAAGGGAAGGGGGGGGAAGGCAAGUUCUCAGAGACACAUGCAUUUUGGGGUUGGGGACCAAAGGAAACAAUCCUGAUGGUAAGUCAAGCUAACACAAAAGGACCCACAGCACCACUUCAGGUUGUCCUUGGUAUCCUGGCCACCACCUUCAGGACUGGAUUAGCUUGGGCUGCCAUCACAAAGUACCACAUAAUGGGUGGCUUAAACAAUAGAAGUUUAUUUUCUCACUGUUCUCAAGGCUAGAAGUCCAAGGUCAAGGUGUUGGCAGGGUUGGUUUCUUCUGAAGCCUCUCUCCUUCCACCUGGCCAUCUUCCUGUUCACAUUCUAUGCCUUUCUGUGUCCUACUCCUCUUCUUGCAAAGACAUCAGUCACAUUGGAUUAGGGCCCAAACAUAUGACCUCAUUUUACCUUAAUUACUUCUUUAAAGCUCCUAUCUCCCCAAAUAGUCACAUUCUGAGGCUUUAGAGGUUAGGACUUCAAUGUAUGAAUUGGGGAGUGGGGAGAGACACAAUUCAAUCCAUGAUAAAGAACAAAUCCAGGAGCCUCAUCAGAUAUUUCCUAUGCACAGAUAGUUUUUAGGAAUGAUUUCAUUAUCUUGGAAUAGGAAGUAAAAGUUAAACCUUUCCUGUGGCUUCCUAAUAGGUGGUCUAGACUGUCGAUGGGAGGAUUUCAUGAUGGGACAACCUCAGAAGAUUCUUCCCUUUAUGUGACUAGAGUUGAGAAGACAUAACUAGUAACCACCAACCAGGCAAUGUAUGUCAUAUCAGACUUUUACUGUCAAAGUUAUGUUUGGGGGGUGGGGUGGGGACCCCAUACUUAGGAAUCUAUGUAGGAAUAAAAUCAUUCAUUAUAUGUAUUAGUUAAGGCAAUGUUAGAUACUGUAACAGAUAAACCCUUCAAUCUCAGGCACUCACAUAUAAAGACUUCCCUCUCAUGUAAAGUGUGUUGGGCAGCAAGGAGGUGGGAAUGGGGGUGGCUCUGUGCUACAAAGUCAUUUAGGCACCCAGGGUGGCAGAGGCUUUGCUGUCUUCAAUAAGGACUUCCACUGUGGGACUCAAUUUAAAAGCAAGACAUGCUCUUUAUAGGAUCUGCUUUUCAGGAAGGAUCAAGGAAAGUGCCCACCAAGCAAGGAUUGGGAAAUACCACCCUCCAGUCCCUCACACUUCAAGGUUACAGGCUUUCUUUUUCUAACUAUACCCCUGAGACGCCCCUCUAAGACUGCCUUGUACACAGCAGGGGGGGGAGGGCGGGGGGGGGGCGUGAUACUCUAUAGGGAAGAUGAAACUUUGGGACACUCAACAGGGGAGGGGAGAGUUGACCCUGUUGUCUUAAGUUAGCAAACUUCGGGGCGCCUGGGUGGCUCAGUCAUUAAGCAUCUGCCUUCAGCUCAGGUCAUGAUCUCAGGGUCCUGGGAUCAAGCCCCAUGUCGGGCUCCCUGCUCAGCGGGAAGCCUGCUUCUCUCUCUCCCUCUGCUACUCCCCCUGUUUGUGCGCGCUCUCUCUCUCUUUCUCUGUCAAAUAAAUAAAUAAAAUCUUUAAAAAAGUAAGUUGGCAAACUUCAAAAAGGCUAUUUGAAGUAGUAAUAAUACACAUUUGAAAGAGAUCACAAUAUUUGCCCAGAAAAUAAUUUGGAAUCUCUAAAGGGAUUAUGGCCAUUUGUCCAGUGGAAGAAAACACUGAAGAUCUCUUUGUUACUUGAGAUCUUGAACUUUUAGAACGCAGGGCAUGAAGUUCUUUUGAAUGUGGAGGGCUGCCCUGGGCACUGACAUCCUGCUGGGGGAGAGGGGAAGAGAGGAAAUAGAGGAUCAAGUAGGUUUUGAAGGGCCAGGCCUGGAUUUGGUAGAUAUCACUUUUGCCCGUGGUCCACUGGUCAGAGCUCAGUCACCAGGCCCUGCCUAAAUGCAAGGGCGCUGCUGGGCAACCAGUGCCCAGCUGCAACUCCCUGCUCUGGAAGGGGAACAGAACUCUGGUGGACAGCCAGCAUUUCUGCUGUGUAGAAAGAUUCCUGGCAGCUCUCAACCCUGUGUAUGAGCAUCACGUGUGGUGCUUUAAAAAACGCAGGUGCCAGGUCUCUGGCCCCAGGGAUUCUGACUCGGUGGGCAUGGGCUGGUGACUGGGAGAAUCUGUAUUUUCAAAGGCACAGCCUGGGUUGAGAGUCACUGGGAUGCUCUGGAGCGUGUACCCCUGACAUUGUCUCUCAACAGUUUUUAAAAUCAUUUCUCAUCCUUCUCAUUGGGAACAGUGCUCCUUAUUUGGCUUCUAUUUUGUAUCUGCUCGUAAAAUAGUUCUUGCCAUGAUCAAAGGGGACUAAGAGUCAAUACUUUGGACAGGUUUUCAGUAAUGGAGUAUCUGUGAUGAAUACUAUAUAAUUUGAUAAAUUUUGUAUCAAUAUAUGACACAAUAAAAUAAUGCAGGUAUGUGUGAUUGAUGAUUUACUGAUUUCUGAGAAGUGCAGUUGUUCCCUGUGCCAUAAAAUCAUGUAUUCAGAAAACUAUUCUUUGAAUGAUUUGAAACUUUUUAUAUUUCCUUUUGUGUGCUACAGGAAAUAAGAAUAAAAAAUAAAAUUUCACAGUUUCCAAAUUCUAAUGUAGUCAUUUAAAAAUUAUUACCAGAGAAUAUUUAUUCUGUUGAAAGUAUUACUAAAUGGGCGCCUGGGUGGUGUUGUCAGUUGACCAUCUGACUCUCGGUUUUGGCUCAGGUCAUGAUCUCAGGGUCGUGGGAAUUAGCCCUGUGUCUGCUUGAGAUUCUCUCUCUCCCGCUUUCUUUGCCCCUCCCCCCAGUCCCUUGCUCUCUCCCUCUGUGAAAUAAAUAAAUAAAUCUUUUUAAAAAAAGAAAGUAUUGCUAAGCACAAAUAUUACAUAUUAAGGUGCUAUUCUCAUUAAAUGGAAUAAAAUUAAUUACUCCUUUCCUAUUCUCCCACUGCAUUUUGUAUAUGUUUUUUGUUUAUAUGUGUUUAAAUAUUUUAUUUUAUAUUUACUUAAAUACAUUUAUUUAUUUUGUAUGUAUACAGUGUCUGUUUUAAUUAGCUGGCGAGCUCCUGACGGGUAAGGCCAGUAUUAUGUUCAUUGUCUUCAUCUUCUACAGUGUGUUCUA